rnacentral:rRNA from 2 species
AAGAAUCCCAAUACUCAAACGACUCUCGGCAACGGAUAUCUCGGCUCUUGCAUCGAUGAAGAACGUAGCGAAAUGCGAUACUUGGUGUGAAUUGCAGAAUCCCGUGAACCAUCGAGUUUUUGAACGCAAGUUGCGCCCGAUGCCAUUAGGUGGAGGGCACGUCUGCCUGGGCGUCACACACAGCGUCGCUCCCCACCAACCUAGUUGGUGA